GAUGAACGCUAGCUACAGGCUUAACACAUGCAAGUCGAGGGGAAACGAUGAGAGAGCUUGCUCUCUUAGGCGUCGACCGGCGCACGGGUGAGUAACGCGUAUCCAACCUACCCAUUACAGGGGGAUAACCUUGCGAAAGUAAGACUAAUACCCCAUGGCAUUUUAUGGUGGCAUCAUUAUAGGAUUAAAGAUUUAUUGGUAAUGGAUGGGGAUGCGUCUGAUUAGCUUGUUGGCGGGGUAACGGCCCACCAAGGCAACGAUCAGUAGGGGUUAUGAGAGGCAGGCACACUAGAUUGGAACUGAGACACGGACCAAAAUCCUACGGGAGGCAGCAGAGAGGAAGAUUGGGCACUGGGCGAGGGCUUGAACCAGCCAAGUAGCGUAAGAGAGGCCGGGGCUAGGGGAUGUAAACUGCUUUGAUAGGAGAAUUGAGUGAGAUAACUGUAGUUUAUUGCAUGUACCGGAUGAAUAAGGACCGGCUAACUUCGUG
rnacentral:rRNA from 1 species